UACAGAGGUGGCAAGCGUUGUUCGGAAUUACUGGGCGUAAAGGGCGCGUAGGCGGCCUUCUAAGUCAGACGUGAAAUCCCCCGGCUUAACCUGGGAACUGCGUCUGAUACUGGAGGGCUUGAGUGCGGGAGAGGGAUGUGGAAUUCCAGGUGUAGCGGUGAAAUGCGUAGAUAUCUGGAGGAACACCGGUGGCGAAGGCGGCAUCCUGGACCCUUUCUGACGCUGAGGCGCGAAAGCCAGGGGAGCGAACGGG
rnacentral:rRNA from 1 species